CUGGGUUCUACUUCCCGUUUCUCCCGCAAGACACUCCCUGCAGACUGUGGCAACUCAACGGCUCUAGGAAGGCACAGCAAACACCAGGACAAGGACUCGACCCGCCAUGUUCACUCUCGUCUGCUGUGCUCCCCCAGGGCCUGGCAUUGAGUAGGGGAUUCAAGUGCAUGUGUCGAGUGACUGAUGGCGUCUGGCACACAAAAUACAGAAAUCUGAAUGCACCCCGUCCCAGUGUGCCCAACUUCUUUCUGGGAGUCUCUCGUGUAGCUGUCAUCGUGACACGUGUGUGUAUGCGUUUGCUGAGGA